CUACGUAAUCAGCAGAGCAGUGUGACCACAAAUGCAACAAACAUUCCAAGGAAUUAAGGAAAGCUAGCAAGGGUAUAUUCGUACACAAGAGAAUCUGUGAAUACCUAACUUAAAAUCUAUCGAGAGGCAGCCAACAACUGCGGUACCUGUAGGGCCAGAGAGAUACCGCAGAUACAGCACCAUUCUGCAGACGUAGCAAAUGGGCAGAGCAAUUAACACCAGAGCCUCUGGAGGAAUCCUGAUCACGCUCAGUACACCUCACUGAUGCUGUCCGCCUGGAAUUACACCCAGCCACCCCCCACCCCCACACACCUGCUAUAUAAAGAAAAAUGUGCUGAAAUGAGUCUGGCUACCAAGCUCACCUGAUGGAUGAGGAUCUCCACCACCAGCUCUGGCCUUCAACCAAACUGUGUAACGCUUGAGGCUUCACAAAGUGUGCCAAGAAUGUCAGCGGUCUCAUUAGUGUGAGUAAUCCUACUUUUCAAUAGUUAUUAUUUUUUCCCCUUUAUUUAUUUAUUUUUUUUACAGUGAUUCUUUUGUUUAAAAAUAAUCAGGAUCACAUAUGUGUACUGUAAACCUGGUCUUUCACAGCUGACCUGGAAAAUUAUUGUAUGUAGAUGACCAUGCUAACCGUGACUGAGAAAAGACUGAAGCCCCAAACCAAGCUCACAUCCUGCCUUGAGCCCUCAGGGAUUUUUAAAAAAUCAUAAUAAUUUGGCAUCUUCAAUCCCAUCUGAAUUUGGAAUGUCAAAUUCACAAACUGCACAACCCCCUGCUGCUGGCUCGGGAGAGUAAAGACGACUCGCGGUUCGCUGAAACACAUGGCACCAGCAGCUUCUUUUCAUACUUCAGCCACAAGCCAUGCAUGUGCAGAGCGGGUGUGGAGGAGACCCAAUUAUACGUGUGCCUAGAAAGUGAGCCCUCAGGGAUUUAUUAUGGCUGCUGACUUGGAUGGUUUUCAGUUUUUUUAAUGUUGCAAACUAGUCAAAAGCAUUAGCUAAUAAAGUGAGAUUAAUAUUUGUAUCUGCAUUCUUCUCAAAAUGAGACCAUACACUACCAAAACAAUGUGCUGGAUCAACCCAGAUCAUUUUACAGAAAGGUUAUCUUCAAACUUAAAAGACAUAGGGCCUGGUUUACUAUGACCUUUAGCAUGUGCAAAACCUUUUAGCACACCUAAACCUUAUAACACAAACAACGACCAACGAAAACAAAUACUGUGUCCCAUGUUUGAUUGUCUUGUUGGUUUUGCAUGUGCUUAAAGGGUUAACACAUCCUGAACACCUUAAUAAAUCAGAUUCAUAAUGCGUACAUGUGAUUGGAAAAUAAAAGCACAAUUUGUGUAUAUGCAGUUGCACUUUGUAUUUACUUGGUGAAAUUAAUCAUUUUAUCUGUUUGUAGGCAGAUUUUUACGGUCUAUGUAAUUUCUAUGGGGGGUAAAAUUUGUGUGUACGGCUUUUCUUUUCAUUGUGGCCUGCAUGACACAAUCUGUCCAGGACCUGCCAACAAUAUUGUCCAAAGAGUUGAGAACCACUGGUCUAAAUAGAAUCAGUAUAUUGCCUUGGAUAUUUUACAAUGUUUGAUCCUAUGCCUGAGAUAUAGAAUACAAUUAAAUAUGAGCUAUGGAUACAGUGUUUUAUAUAAUGCAAGAGCAUGACAGAAAAUAAAGAAUACAUAAACGUUUCACAGGGGAAAUUUUCCUUCCACUCUGUGUGUGUUUAUUUAAUAAUGUCAGGUACAAUUUAAUAGAAUCUGUGUUUCCAAUAGCAAGAAUGUAUGCAACUUUAGAAGGUUGAGCCCUAAUUUUGCGUGACCUUCUAAAUGGAAAAAGCAUAGUGCACAUAAAUGUGAAAUUAACUUGCUGUUAUAAAAGUACUAGCCUCUCUUGUUAGGCUCAUAACCAUAGGAUAUGUAUGGGCUGAUUAGGAUAAGAUCACCCACCUUCUGAGAAUGGUGUACAUCCUCUGACAAACUAUGAUCUGGCAUAAAUCAGGCUCCAACUGGAAGUGAAAAUUGGAGCCCACUCAACUCAACCAUUUCACGUAAUGCUGACUAAAACCAAGUUGAACCAAUCAGACUGCAGGGAAGCUCAUCUCACAGACGAUAACUGUGACAAACUAUAACUCUCAGAUGCUGUUGAGAGAGAGAGAGGUUGUCUGAGGCCAGGGCUAUAAAAAUGCUGGACUUUAGGUGGUGGCCAUUUGAGAUUGCCCCAAGGGAAUAAUUGACACUCACAGGUCAGAGAGGUGGCAGAGACAGUUCUGAACCAACAAAACAAGAGGAAAUGCAGAGGCAUACCCAUUCAUUCAUUCUCACCUGCUUGUGUGUCUUGUCAUUGUGAUGUUGCCAUUGUAACUGUGUGUAUAUG